CAAAGUACUUCAACAACCUUGACAGUUGGCAUGAGGUACAUGAGCAAACCAUGUUUCUGGUGUACAAAAGAAAUAUCAGUUUUUUAAUAAUAUAAGAACGAAAAUCUGAUUAACUAAAACAAGAAAAAGAAAUCCUGAAUCCUGGAAGCAAUGACAUCUUCAUAUAGUGGAGGUUGAUCUUGAUCCAUGAGGACGACACAAGCUUGAGGAUCACUGAUGGGAUCAU